rnacentral:rRNA from 1 species
CAUGUAGGCGGUCUGUCAAGUCUGAUGUGAAAGCCCGGGGCUCAACCCCGGAAGUGCAUUGGAAACUGGCAGACUUGAGUACGGGAGAGGAAAGUGGAAUUUCGAGUGUAAGGGUGAAAUCCGUAGAUAUUCGAAGGAACACCAGUGGCGAAGGCGGCUUUCUGGACCGAUACUGACGCUGAGAUGCGAAAGCGUGGGGAGCAAACAGGAUUAGAUACCCUGGUAGUCC